rnacentral:rRNA from 1 species
UACAGGGGGGGCAAGCGUUGUUCGGAAUUACUGGGCGUAAAGGGCCAGUAGGCGGCCGACUAAGUCCGACGUGAAAUCCCCAGGCUUAACCUGGGAACUGCGUCGGAUACUGGUUGGCUUGAAUUCGGGGAGAGGGAUGCAGAAUUCCAGGUGUAGCGGUGAAAUGCGUAGAUAUCAGGAGGAACACCGGUGGUGUAGACGGCUUUCUGGACCAUAGCUGACGCUGAGACACGAAAGCGUGGGUAGCAAACAGG